rnacentral:rRNA from 1 species
UACAGAGGUCCCAAGCGUUGUUCGGAUUCACUGGGCGUAAAGGGUGCGUAGGUGGCGGGGUCAGUCUGACGUGAAAUCUCUGGGCUUAACCCGGAAAUGGCGUUGGAAACUACCUUGCUUGAGGGUUGGAGGGGGGACUGGAAUACUUGGUGUAGCAGUGAAAUGCGUAGAUAUCAAGUGGAACACCAGUGGCGAAGGCGAGUCCCUGGACAACUCCUGACACUGAGGCACGAAAGCUAGGGGAGCAAACGGG